rnacentral:rRNA from 1 species
AUACAGAGGCCAAGAGCGUUGUUCGGAUUUACUGGGCGUAAAGGGCGCGUAGGCGGCAAGGCGUGUCAAGUGUGAAAUCUCCGGGCCCAACCCGGAAAGUGCGCUUGAAACUACCAUGCUUUGAGUCCGGGAGGGGGAAUCGGAAUACAGGGUGUAGCGGUGAAAUGCGUUGAUAUCCUGUAGAACACCGGAGGCGAAGGCGGAUUCCUUGAACGGUACUGGCGCUGAGGCGCGAAAGUCGGGGGAGCAAACAGGAUUAGAUACCCUGGUAGUCCCGACCUUAAACGGUGCGCACUCGGGGUGGGGCCAUUUCACCGGCCCCGUCCCCAAGCUAACGCGAUAAGUGCGCCGCCUGGGGAGUACGGCCGCAAGGCUAAAACUCAAAGGAAUUGACGGG